rnacentral:lncRNA from 1 species
UCCCCCCUACCACCGGCGUGUCUGCAUGGUCCAGGAGCUGCUGCGGAUGGUGCGCCAGGGCCGGAGGGAGGAGGCGGGGACGCUGCUGCAGCACCUGCGCCAGGACCUGGGCAUGGAGUCGACCUCCCUGGACGAUGUCCUGUAUCGAUAUGCCAGCUUUCGGAACCUGGUGGACCCCAUCACACAUGACCUCAUCAUCAGCCUGGCACGCUAUAUCCACUGCCCUAAGCCGGUAGGGCAGCUGUGGCCUAAGCCAGCCUGGCCCUGGGGUGUGAGGUGGGCGCCUGUUUGGACAAAGUCAUUCAGGGCCCAAGGAAAAUGAGCCCCCUCCUUCAGGCACCAAGAGGGUGGGCUUGAGGUACCCUCCUACUGGUACCAUCAACCCUGGAAGGUUUUGUCGGGCCUAUGGAUAAAUUCAUUGCCAACAUUUUAAAAAUUAAUACUUUAUAUAACCCCUAUAUUCUGCUGACCUUAAAAAGAGUGGAAACUCCAGCACCAUGUGGCCUUCAUUCCAACAGGGCUCUGGGGAACAGUGUCACAUCGCCCCCACCACUUCACUCUUCCUGCCUGAUCCCCCACAGCUCAACAGGAAAUACUCCAGGGCUCUCCAGGCUCUAAGACGCUACUCAGCCCCUCUGGCUGAGAGAUUCUGGCCCUGAUCCUGCUGGCUUCCAGGAUCCAGGCUUGGCUGUGGCCUCAGGGCAUCAGACUGGCUCAUCUAGGGCUUGUGCAGGGACCUGGGGGUGAGGGGUGUCCACCCAGGAGCUCUUCUCUAUUGCUUGGUUCCUUCCAUCCCUCAAUUUCCAGCAGCUUCCAAAAGAAGCCUUUCUUCUCUGUUAGGACCAGGAGGCCAGAGCAGGACUAAGGGGUAAAGGAGGGAAGCAUCCCAUCUGAGCUGGAUCUGGGGUAAGAGUUGGAGACACGAUCUCUAAGCCCUUCCCUCUUCUGCAUGGGCAGACCUGACCACAGUCACCCAGGGAGCUGCAACUUGCUCGGAGGAAAGGAGCCUCCUGGGCUGACCCUAUCUGUGGCUUCAUCUGGGCCCUAUUCACUGGCUUCUGGGGCUGCUGGUGCCAAAACUCUGAGGUGGGGCUAGCAAUGAGGGGCUGGGGUCAGCAGAAGGCAGGAAUGCUGGGCUCAAGUAAAGCCAAGAGUGAAGGUUGGCAGGGGGGGCCACUGGAGGUGUGGGGAAGAGGAGC